rnacentral:rRNA from 1 species
GAUGAACGCUGGCGGCGUGCCUAAUACAUGCAAGUCGAACGCAUUGUGGUUGAAAUGAUAUGAAGAACUUGUUCAGAUUUGAUUUUCAACAUUGCAAUGAGUGGCGAACGGGUGAGUAACACGUGGGAAACCUACCUCUUAGCAGGGGAUAACAUUUGGAAACAAAUGCUAAUACCGUAUAAUAAUUAAAACCGGCAUGGUUUUAGUUUAAAAGAUGGUCUUGCUAUCACUAAGAGAUGGUCCCGCGGUGUAUUAGUUAGUUGGUGAGGUAAUGGCUCACCAAGGACAAUGAUACAUAGCCGAGUUGAGAGACCUGACCGGCCACAAUGGAC